UCCAGACUCCUACGGGAGGCAGCAGUGGGGAAUAUUGCACAAUGGGGGAAACCCUGAUGCAGCGACGCCGCGUGAGGGAAGAAGUAUUUCGGUAUGUAAACUUCUAUCAGCAGGGAAGAAAGUGACGGUACCUGACUAAGAAGCCCCGGCUAACUACGUGCCAGCAGCCGCGGUAAUACGUAGGGGGCAAGCGUUAUCCGGAUUUACUGGGUGUAAAGGGAGCGUAGGCGGCGAUGCAAGUCAGAAGUGAAAGCCCGGGGCUCAACUCCGGGACUGCUUUUGAAACUGUAUGGCUAGAUUGCAGGAGAGGCAAGUGGAAUUCCUAGUGUAGCGGUGAAAUGCGUAGAUAUUAGGAGGAACACCAGUGGCGAAGGCGGUCUGCUGGACAGCAACUGACGCUGAGGCGCGAAAGCGUGGGGAGCAAACAGGAUUAGAUACCCUAGUAACU
rnacentral:rRNA from 1 species